GUUUUAAUUUCAUCAUUCGCCGCCUGAAGAGACAAGAUGGCGGAGCUUGCGAAAUCGAAAAUUGGUACUUGAAAGUCAAUGGUUGAUCAUGAUGACCAUCUUUUAUUUAAUGGAGAAAGAAACCAAUAUUUGCAGCUGGACAGGUUGUCACCACAGUUCAAUGAUUUAGGUCAGACAUCAGCUUUUGAAGUUGCUUUCUUGGCACAUCAUGCUGUCCAGUGGAGUUCAUACCAUAUGCCAGGCCU
rnacentral:lncRNA from 1 species